AGUCGAGCGAGCAAUUUUAACGGAAUACCUUCGGGUAGGAAGAUAAAAGCGCGAGCGGCGGAUGGGUGAGUAACACGUGGGCAACCUGCCCUUUAGCUUGGGAUACCACUUGGAAACAGGUGCUAAUACCAAAUAAGAAGCAAGAGCGCAUGCUCAAGCUAUGAAAGGCGGCUUUCGAGCUGUCACUAAAGGAUGGGCCCGCGGUGCAUUAGCUAGUUGGUAAGGUAACGGCUUACCAAGGCAAUGAUGCAUAGCCGAGUUGAGAGACUGAUCGGCCACAUUGGGACUGAGACACGGCCCAAACUCCUACGGGAGGCAGCAGUAGGGAAUCUUCCACAAUGGACGCAAGUCUGAUGGAGCAACGCCGCGUGAGUGAAGAAGGUUUUCGGAUCGUAAAGCUCUGUUGUUGGUGAAGAAGGAUAAGGAUAGUAACUGAUUCUUAUUUGACGGUAAUCAACCAGAAAGUCACGGCUAACUACGUGCCAGCAGCCGCGGUAAUACGUAGGUGGCAAGCGUUGUCCGGAUUUAUUGGGCGUAAAGCGAACGCAGGCGGGAGAACAAGUCAGCUGUGAAAGCCCUCGGCUUAACCGGGGAAGUGCAGCUGAAACUGUUUUUCUUGAGUGCAGAAGAGGAGAGUGGAACUCCAUGUGUAGCGGUGGAAUGCGUAGAUAUAUGGAAGAACACCAGUGGCGAAGGCGGCUCUCUGGUCUGUAACUGACGCUGAGGUUCGAAAGCAUGGGUAGCGAACAGGAUUAGGUACCCUGGUAGUCCAUGCCGUAAACGAUGAGUGCUAAGUGUUGGGGGGUUUCCGCCUCUCAGUGCUGCAGCUAACGCAUUAAGCACUCCGCCUGGGGAGUACGACCGCAAGGUUAAAACUCAAAGGAAUUGAC
rnacentral:rRNA from 1 species